rnacentral:rRNA from 1 species
UACAGAGGUCCCGAGCGUUGUUCGGAUUCACUGGGCGUAAAGGGUGCGUAGGUGGUUGGGUAAGUCUGAUGUGAAAUCUCCGGGCUCAACCCGGAAAUGGCAUUGGAUACUAUCUGGCUAGAGGUUUGGAGGGGGGACUGGAAUUCUCGGUGUAGCGGUGGAAUGCGCAGAUAUCAGGAGGAACACCGGUGGCGAAGGCGGGUCUCUGGGCCAUUACUGACGCUGAGGAGCGAAAGCGUGGGGAGCGAACAGG